rnacentral:rRNA from 1 species
AGAGUUUGAUCAUGGCUCAGAGUGAACGCUAGCGGUGUGCUUAACACAUGCAAGUCGAGCGAGGGCAGGUCUUCGGAUCUGACCCGAGCGGCGCACGGGUGCGUAACACGUGGGUAAUCUACCUUAGAGUGGGGGAUAACCCGCCGAAAGGCGGACUAAUACCGCAUAACAUCCCUUUAACGACGGUUAGGGGGAUCAAAGACGGGGAUCCGCAAGGACCCGUCACUCUAAGAUGAGCCCGCGGCCCAUCAGCUUGUUGGCGGGGUAAUGGCCCACCAAGGCGACGACGGGUAGCCGGCCUGAGAGGGUGAUCGGCCACACUGGAACUGAGACACGGUCCAGACUCCUACGGGAGGCAGCAGUGGGGAAUAUUGCGCAAUGGGGGAAACCCCGACGCAGCAACACCGCGUGGAGGAAGAAGGCCUUCGGGUUGUAAACUCCUGUCAGUUGGGAAAAAGGUCCGGGAGGUGAACAAUCUUCCGGGUUUGAUUGUACCAGCAGAGGAAGCCCCGGCUAACUACGUGCCAGCAGCCGCGGUAAAACGUAGGGGGCCAGCGUUACUCGGAAUUACUGGGCGUAAAGGGUGCGUAGGCGGCAUGGCAAGUCUUUGGUGAAAUCCCUUGGCUUAACCAAGGAAGCGCCGGAGAUACUGCUUUGCUUGAGUCCGGUAGAGGGAAGUGGAAUUCCCGGUGUAGCGGUGAAAUGCGUAGAUAUCGGGAGGAACACUCAUGGCGAAGGCAGCUUUCUGGACCGGCACUGACGCUGAUGCACGAAAGCGUGGGUAGCAAACAGGAUUAGAUACCCUGGUAGUCCACGCCCUAAACGAUGGGUACUCGGUGUCGCGGGUAUCGACUCCCGCGGUGCCGGAGCUAACGCGUUAAGUACCCCGCCUGGGGAGUA